GGGCAUGUAGCCAAGAGGUUAUUGCGUUCACUUUGCAUGUUCAUCCCCGGUUCGAAUCCGGGCUUGUCCA
rnacentral:tRNA from 1 species